UAUGUGAUCGUCUCUCGCAUAUCAAUAAGCGGAGGAAAAGAAACUAACAAGGAUUCCCCUAGUAACGGCGAGUGAAGCGGGAAGAGCUCAAAUUUGAAAUCUUAAAGGGUUUCCCUUUACGAAUUGUAGUUUAAAGAAGUGUUUUCUGUUGAGGUUUUGGUAAAAGUUCUUUGGAAUAGGACAUCAUAGAGGGUGAGAAUCCCGUAUUUGACCUUUACUUUCAACUUUGUGAUACACUUUCAAAGAGUCGGAUUGUUUGGGAAUGCAGUCCAAAAUGGGUGGCUAAAUUUCAUCUAAAGCUAAAUACUUGGCGAGAGACCGAUAGCGAACAAGUACCGUGAGGGAAAGAUGAAAAGAACUUUGAAAAGAGAGUUAAACAGUACGUGAAAUUGUCAAAAGGGAAGCGUUUGACACCAGUGUUGUUUUUCUGGAAAUCAAUUAAAGAAACUGUUUAUGCUAAGCUGUUUAGACUUUAUCAGCUAUCUGUUUAGUUUUGAGCUUUUCUUUAAUGCACUUUUCAGUUAACAAGUCAACAUCAAUUUCUUUUGCUGUAAAAAAGCUUGAGGAAGGUGGCUUGAGAUUCGUCUUAAGUGUUUAUAGCCUCUUGCCUAUGCAGUCGGAGAGAUUGAGGUCUGCAGCGUAGAUCCUUCGGGGCUAAAUGCAUUUGUGCUAAGUUAUAGCAUUUUAUAGACAACUUGUUGACUAUGAUUUGUCUUGUAGCUUACUCGCUUAUGUUAUUUUACCUACGCUUAGGAUGUUGAGUAGCGACAUACGCAC
rnacentral:rRNA from 1 species